AGGUUUGGCAGCAGGCGCAGCAUUGCAUUGACCAGGUUGUCCCAUAGAACUGAAGAGAAGUGAGCUGACACAUCCUGAAGCAGAGCAAGUUGCCCUGGUGCUGCUGAAGUCAGUGAAGCUUCAACAGUUUGUACCAGCUGUGAAGUGCAGGAUAUUGAGAACAUUUGUUCCAGCUCUGCCUCUGGUCUGGGAUUUCACUCAGCCCAGCUGGGUUAGAAGAGGAGGGGACCUCAGCAGUGCUUGUGUGGGGUCAAAUCUUCCUGCAACUACAGAGAGAAUUCCCACCAAAAACGGGUGCCUCCAUCAGCCCCUCUGUUUGGUUCUUGGGCACCUGCCUGUGUUCCUUUCCCUGCAGCACAGAGCGCAGCAUCUUCAGCAUUAUCUGGGGGAACUGCAGCUACUGAAGAAGCAGCGUGCAGUUCUUGCUCAGCUGUGGGGAGCUGGUACAGCCCAGCACUGCCAGCAGUGUGUGGAGCUGCAAGGUCUGUUCCUCCUGGCUUAUCCAGAUCCCUCCAGUAAGUGUCACCACUUCUACUCUGCAAAAAUGAGCCUCAUCCUUUGAGCUGUGCUCAGUGUAAACCAAACCCAUGACAUUAAUGCCAACAGGUGGCUGUUAGUCCUCUGAAUAGCCUUUUGCUUCUCUUCAUACGUGCAGAAAUCUUGCAGUAUAUUUCCAGUGCUGCAGUUUAAUGACAGUUCUCAUCCAUGACAUCAGACCUGUUCCUCCUUCCUCUCAUACUGUUUGAAAGGAAGAGGAAAAAGAGAAUGAUCCAUAGUUGCUCUCUUGAAGCAGCCAUAUGGCUGGCAAUAUGUUACUAGAUGUGCAUCCUUUUCUUUUCUCCUCCCUCACCGGCACUAUUAUAUCAGGAAAACUAAGCAGUCCCAAUCUUUUGUACUGUCUGGGGGGGGCCAGGUGCCCAGCCCAGUCAUGGUGCUGCUGCUGUGAACAUACAAGUGGUAGUAUCAGCUGCAGGCAUGCAGUCCCUGACCAAGGGGGCCAACCUCUGUCCUAACUCCAGAAAUGGGGUUGGCUAAUAAGGAUUUUGAAAAAAUCUCAGUUUUACUUAUAAAUAGGCUGGUUUAAUUAUUUAUUAUCCCUGUUUUAUUAAACAUAAAACUAAAACACUUCUGCUUGUGAAAGAGCAAACGCAAUCCCUUGUGGAAGAUAAUAAACAUAAC
rnacentral:lncRNA from 7 species